AGCUAAUAGAUACCCGGGUAGUCCACGCCCUAAACGAUGUCUAUUAGUUGUUGGUGGAGUAAAAUACCAUGAGUAAACGCAGCUAAACGCGUGAAGUAGACCGCCUGGGGAGUACGGUCGCAAGAUUAAAACUACAAAGGAAUUGACGGGGGCCCGGCACAAGCGGUGGAUUAUGUGGAUUAAAUUCGAUGCAACGCGAAAAACCUUAACCUGGCCUUGACAUGCCACUAACGAAGCAGAGAUGCAUUAGGUGCCCGUAAGGGAAAGUGGACACAGGUGCUGCAUGGCUGUCGUCAGCUCGUGUCGUGAGAUGUUGGGUUAAGUCCCGCAACGAGCGCAACCCUUGCCAUUAAUUGCCAUCAUUUAGUUGGGCACUUUAAUGGGAUUGCCGGUGACAAACCGGAGGAAGGUGGGGAUGACGUCAAGUCCUCAUGGCCCUUAU
rnacentral:rRNA from 1 species